rnacentral:rRNA from 1 species
GAUGAACGCUGGCGGCGUGCCUAAUACAUGCAAGUCGAACGAGGUGCUUUUGUAGUAAUACGAAAGUGUCCUAGUGGCGAACGGGUGAGUAACGCGUUGGUGACCUACCCCAAAGUGUGGGAUAACAGUUCGAAAGGAUUGCUAAUACCGCAUGUGGUCUUCGGAUUUAGAAACUGAUGACUAAAGGAGUAAUCCGCUUUGGGAGGGACCUGCGUCCCAUCAGCUAGUUGGUGAGGUAAUGGCUCACCAAGGCUACGACGGGUAGGGGACCUGAGAGGGUGACCCCCCCACAAUGGAACUGAAACACGGUCCAUACACCUACGGGUGGCAGCAGUAGGGAAUAUUGCACAAUGGGCGAAAGCCUGAUGCAGCAACGCCGCGUGUGCGAUGAAGGCCUUCGGGUCGUAAAGCACUUUUCUGAGGGAUGAGCAAGGACAGUACCUCAGGAAUAAGUCUCGGCUAACUACGUGCCAGCAGCCGCGGUAAU